GACGAACGCUGGCGGCAGGCCUAAUACAUGCAAGUCGCACGGGAUUUCGGGUAGCAAUAUCUGAAUGAGAGUGGCGCACGGGUGCGUAACACGUAUGCAAUCUACCUUUAACUGGGGAAUAGCUCACCGAAAGGUGAAUUAAUACCGCAUAAAAUCACAGAAGGACAUCCUUCAAUGAUUAAACCUACGGGGGUUAAAGAUGAGCAUGCGUCCGAUUAGCUAGNGGCGGGGUAAUAGCCCACCAAGGCAACGAUCGGUAGGGGGUCUGAGAGGAUGAUCCCCCACACUGGUACUGAGAUACGGACCAGACUCCUACGGGAGGCAGCAGUAAGGAAUAUUGGACAAUGGGGGC
rnacentral:rRNA from 1 species